rnacentral:rRNA from 1 species
UGUAGGGUGCGUAGGCGGCUCUGCAAGUCAGGUGUGAAAACCAUCGGCUUAACUGAUGGACUGCAUUUGAAACUGUGGAGCUUGAGUGAAGUAGAGGCAGACGGAAUUCCCGGUGUAGCGGUGAAAUGCGUAGAGAUCGGGAGGAACACCAGUGGCGAAGGCGGUCUGCUGGGCUUUAACUGACGCUGAGGCACGAAAGCAUGGGUAGCAAACAGGAUUAGAUACCCUGGUAGUCCAUGCUGUAAACGAUGAUUACUAGGUGUGGGGGGUCUGACCCCUUCCGUGCCGGAGUUAACACAAUAAGUAAUCCACCUGGGAAGUACGACCGCAAGGUUGAAACUCAAAGGAAUUGACGGGGGCCCGCACAAGCAGUGGAGUAUGUGGUUUAAUUCGAAGCAACGCGAAGAACCUUACCAGGUCUUGACAUCUACCGAAUCCUGUAGAGAUACGGGAGCGCCCUUCGGGGAGCGGUAAGACAGGUGGUGCAUGGUUGUCGUCAGCUCGUGUCGUGAGAUGUUGGGUUAAGUCCCGCAACGAGCGCAACCCUUGUGAUUAGUUGCUACGCAAGAGCACUCUAAUCAGACUGCCGUUGACAAAACGGAGGAAGGUGGGGACGACGUCAAAUCAUCAUGCCCCUUAUGAUCUGGGCUACACACGUACUAUAAUGGGCCAUCAACAGAGGGAAGCAAAACCGCGAGGCAGAGCAAACCCCUAAAAAUGGUCUCAGUUCGGAUCGCAGCUGA